rnacentral:rRNA from 1 species
UAAUACGUAGGGGGCAAGCGUUGUCCGGAUUCAUUGGGCGUAAAGAGCGUGUAGGCGGCUUGACAAGUCCGUUGUGAAAACUGGAGGCUUAACCUCCAGACGUCGAUGGAAACUGUCAGGCUAGAGUCCGGAAGAGGAGAGCGGAAUUCCUGGUGUAGCGGUGAAAUGCGCAGAUAUCAGGAAGAACACCCGUGGCGAAGGCGGCUCUCUGGGACGGUACUGACGCUGAGACGCGAAAGCGUGGGGAGCGAACAGGAUUAGAUACCCUGGUAGUCCACGCCGUAAACGAUGGGUGCUAGGUGUGGGGGGUGUCGACUCCCUCCGUGCCGCAGCUAACGCAUUAAGCACCCCGCCUGGGGAGUACGGCCGCAAGGCUA